GAGAAGUCUCAAUUAGGUGAGUUUCCCCGGCCUGGGGAAUGUAGGCCAAAGAUGUACAAGCUGCAACCCAUGCACAAGACGAUCCAAAGUUGCAAAACGUUGGAAGAAACCCGGCCUGGAACUGCAAGAUGGCAACUUCCGCAGCCUCCUGGGUCACCUGGAAACCCGAAGGAGGUCGGAGCUGCUGAGCCUGGAGCUGCUUGUGUCUGACAGAAUCCACCUUUCUUCAUACUUGAGCGAGCAGCAUCGAUGCUAACAGCAAAUGGCAUCUCCUCAUCUCAGCUUGUCCUUCAGGGGGACACACAGUAAAAUCACCCACAAAGAGCACACAAGGAGUCACCAGCCUGUAAAUCAGUCUCUGUUCCAGCUGUCUGCAUUCCCAAAGGCACUGGUCCUGAGCUUUGCCUGAGAUUACACUACGCUGAGCUCAAAGGUCAGUCUCUCCAGGGUCCUUUCUCUUCUUGGAGCUUAUGGGCUCUGGUAGGGCAGAAGCAGAAAGCACUUUGGCCUCCUUCAGGAUUAUUAAACGAUUCUCAUGUCACAGUUCAGAGAAAAGCACUUUGUACUCCAAGAUAAGAAUGGCAGUAUCAACCUCCUGGUUGUGUUUAAAACAAUAAAACCUUGAUCAUUGCUCAUAAACCUGGACUCU
rnacentral:lncRNA from 1 species